AAUCUGUUCGAUGUCGAACAUUCGCUCCGCAUAUGCCCUGGCGUUCGAUCCCGCCGUCGCUCGUUGUGCGGCGUCGCCGAUAAGCGCACUUACUGCUGCGACAAAGUCGGUUCUGCUUCCCGCUGCGACGAUCACUCCGGCAUUGCUUUGUGUCACGAUUCGAGCGGCGAGAUUUUCGCAUGGCGCGGACAGCACGAUGGGCCGACCGGCACAAAGAUAGCUCAAAACUUUUGAAGGGA
rnacentral:misc_RNA from 1 species